rnacentral:rRNA from 1 species
AAGGAAUAUUGCUCAAUGGGGGAAACCCUGAAGCAGCAACGCCGCGUGAAGGAUGAAGGGCUUUUGCUUGUAAACUUCUGUAGUGAGGGAAAAAACUUCCACUCUGUGGAAUAUGAUGGUACCUCAAAAGUAAGCCCCGGCUAACUACGUGCCAGCAGCCGCGGUAAUACGUAGGGGGCAAACGUUGUCCGGAUUUACUGGGUGUAAAGGGUGCUCAGGCGGUUUUGUAAGUCAGAAGUGAAAUCCUAGAGCUUAACUCUGGAACUGCUUUUGAUACUGCAAGGCUUGAAUGUGGAAGAGGAGGAUGGAAUUUCUGGUGUAGCAGUGAAAUGCGUAGAUAUCAGAAAGAACACCAGUGGCGAAGGCGGUCCUCUGGUCCACUAUUGACGCUAAAGCACGAAAGCGUGGGGAGCAAAC